CACACGUGUGACCACUGUGACCCAGGCUCCGUAUUCAUAAACGUACUUAAGUCAAUGUAUGAUACUUGUUUAUGUUCUUUAAUUACGUAUUUAGAUAUCAUACAUUGACUUAAGUACAUUUAUGAAUACGGAGCCAGGACCGUUAUGUAUGGGUAAUUCAUUUACGGCACAUGACCACCACGGCAACCUCUACUGCUUCAGCACUACAGGUUUCCGUAGGAUAUCGGCUCAGACGGUGCAGAACCGACUACGUGAGGCAGUUAUCCGAGCCUGUAAGAGGUGUCAUUUUGACUGAACACCAUCGUUAUGCUGCAUACUGCAUACAGGACAUGGAUGGAUUCGGUGGUGGUAGUGUGAUGAUGUGGGCAGAAUGCAGGAAAUUGAAUUUCAGGACAUCUAGUUUUGACAGCACGUUAUGUAUAUAGUAAUAUAAAACCGCAAAAGAUUCUUGCGACAUGCGGCAUUGGUGUUGCUCGUGCUUGGUAAAGAUUCAAAACAUUCGACAAGUCCCAUCCCAGCUGGACUUCAACGAUCGGAGACAGAAUCCAAACAUUUCUUGGGAAGUAUGCAGAAACGUAAAGUGAGAAAACGCACCUUGGGAGAAGGAAUAAUUUAUGAUCACCCGCCACCAGGGUAUGCCCCCGAAACUUCCGGGACCUCGGACGGUGUAGGGAAUAGGAACAAAGGGCAAUAAAAUGAAUAUAUAAACCUAA